UGCCGGGAUUACAGGCGUGAGCCACCGUGCCUGGCCAGGACCACUUCUUAAGGCGAGUGCUCCCCAAGACUGUGUUCUUGGGCCACUUCCAGUCCCACUUCCCACUUCCUCCUGGGCAAGCAGCUGACAGCCCUGACACCAUCCAUCAUCUGUCUCCAGCUCCAGCACCUCUUUCUCCGUAAGUUCAGAUCUGUGUAUCCUACCUUGUGCCUACUGGAUUUUGUUGCAUGGACGUCCCACAAGCGUAACAAAUAAAUGUCUACAACUUCUUCUCAAGCCAGUUCCUGCCUCUGGGUUUCUUAUCCCUGGAAAGGGCGUGACCCCUGGGCUGAGAACUCAAGCUGUAAAUAUGAGCAUCAACCUUGCUUAGUUUUCGCCAUCACCAUCAGUUAUCACAUGCUGUGUGACAAGUUGCCCCAAUAUGUAGUGGUUUAAAGCCACCAUGGUUUCUUGCUUCCUGUGACUCUUCUGGGUUCCCUGGGCUCCCUUAAUGGGGCUUCAUUCAGCCGGAAGGUCCCAAAUGGCCUCACUUUCACACUGGCCUUGAUUCCCGCCUCGUGGCCUCCCACUCUCAUUUUUCAGUGGUCUAGACUGAGUACCUUUAAAUGGCAGCUGGGAAUGACAAAGCUGGGAAGUGGCUGUCACUUUCACCACGUUCUCUUGGUCAAAGCAUCACAGAUACGACUCCUCCUCUUGAUGAGUGGGGUGGCAUAACCAUACAGGGACGGGGGUCAUUGUUGUCCGUAGAGACGCCCACAGCACCCCCUGCAUCCAGUCAGACAUCAGGCCAGCAGCUGCACCCACAGGUGGUAGGCUGGUAGCACACAUGACCCCAGUUCUCUCCCCGUCUGGAUCUGUGCCCUUGACUGGCGAAUUUGCAGUGCCCUCCCACGUGCGGGAAGGGGGUUCUCUCCUACCCCUGGACUCUGUGGUCAGGCAUGUGACUUAUUUUAGCAAAUGUGAUUCAAGCAAAAGCUGGUAAUGGGGCUUUUGCCUGUUUUAAUCCCUCUCCGGCUCCCCUGCAAUGGCUAGGAGAUCUGGGCUGGCCCAUGGGAGGUGAAACACAUGGAAAUGAGCUGAGCCACCCCAGUGCUCUCAGUCAAAGCCGUCCUAAACCAGCGGCCUGAGACACAUGAGAAGAGUUCAGCCAAGACGUGCAGAGCCACCCAUCCGGACCCGCCGAUCCACCCCCCCGGACCCGCAGAUCCACCCCUCCGGACCCUCCGAUCCACCCCUCCGGACCCGCAGAUCCACCCAUCCAGACCCACAGCUGGCUGUAGAUGCAUGAGUCCUGAAGAACCAUCCGGCCAAUGCACAGACACCAGAGAGCUUGUGCCGUCUCUCUCUCCAUAUGUACACACCAAGGAAAGGCCAUGUGUAGGCAGAGCCGGAAGCCAGUCUGCAAGCCAGGAAAAUAGUCCUCACCAGAACCCAACCAUGCUGGUGCCUGGUCUUGGACUUCCAGCCUCCAGAACUGUGAGAAACAUGGGGAUCGCUGUCCUUCAAGACCUGAUGGCCAGUGUCUGGAACACCAUUGCUUUAUGGAUUUUGAGUGUUUUUGGAGUCAUUUCAGGUAAGAGGGUAAGAUCAAUCUGUGUUUACUCAAUCUUGUCUAGAAGGUGAAAUCUAUUAG